rnacentral:rRNA from 1 species
GCAGUAGCCGCGGUAAUACAGAGGGUGCGAGCGUUAAUCGGAUUUACUGGGCGUAAAGCGUGCGUAGGCGGCUUCUUAAGUCGGAUGUGAAAUCCCUGAGCUUAACUUAGGAAUUGCAUUCGAUACUGGGAAGCUAGAGUAUGGGAGAGGAUGGUAGAAUUCCAGGUGUAGAGGUGAAAUGCGUAGAGAUCUGGAGGAAUACCGAUGGCGAAGGCAGCCAUCUGGCCUAAUACUGACGCUGAGGUACGAAAGCAUGGGGAGCAAACAGGAUUAGAUACCCCCGUAGUCCCUGUCUCUUAUCC